GACGAACGCUGGCGGCGUGCUUAACACAUGCAAGUCGAACGAAGUGGCGGACGGGUGAGUAACGCGUAAUCAACCUGCCCUUCAGCGGGGGACAACAGUUGGAAACGACGGCUAAUACCGCAUACUGAAGGAGGGGAUUGCGUCUGAUAAGCUAGUUGGAGGGGUAACGGCCCACCAAGGCGAUGAUCAGUAGCCGGUCUGGGAGGAUGCACGGCCAUAUUGGGACUGAGAAACGGCCCAGACUCCUACGGGAUGCAGCAGGUGGGAAUCUUCCGCAAUGGACGAAAGUCUGACGGAGCAACGCCGCGGGAGUGAUGACGGCCUUCGGGUUGUAAAGCUCUGUUAAUCGGGACGCGGUACCGGAAUAGAAAGCCACGGCUAACUACGUGCCAGCAGCCGCGGUAAUUC
rnacentral:rRNA from 1 species